CGUGGACAUUGAAGAAUGAGUGUGGAAUCUAGCCCAGCCUCCUCCAGGACCAGGGAGCCAAGGAACCAGUGGCCCAGGUAGCUUCUUGUCAUCUCUUCGUCAUUGCUGUGGUCAGCUGUUCCCUCCGCCCACACCCAGGGGCCCACUGUGACUAACAGUUAAACAGUGCUUUAAAACUUAUUGAAAGGAUUAUAUUUUGUAUUUCAUUGCACCCUAACAGCAGGGGGUACCAUGCAUCACUCCACCCCGGCUCCUUUCACCUGCGCCACCUCCCUCCCUCUCCUUGUCUUGUGUCAGCUCUCCCUUCUCAGCCAGUCCUCUUCCUGUGGGCUCGUCUAGAGCUGGAUCUUGACUUUUCCUCGCUCCUGCUAUCUGGGUGUGUCCCUUAGGUGCCACAACUUUAACGACCAAAUUCACAAUUCCUGCCACAUCUGUGUCCUCAGCCCCAAUUUCUCCCUGAACGCGACAUUCUUAUAGCCACGCAUCCCUUAACAACAGGGCUCUGUUAUGAGAAAUGUGUCAUUAGGUGAUUUUGCCAUUGUGUGAACACCACAGAGCACACUUACACACACCUGGAUGGCACAGCCCACUGCGCACCGAGGCCGGAUGGCAGAACCCACUGUGCACCCAGGCCGGAUGGCGGAGCCCACUGCGCACCCAGGCCAGAUGGUGGAGCCUACUGUGCACCCAGACUGAACUUCAGAAAGAAAA
rnacentral:lncRNA from 10 species